rnacentral:rRNA from 1 species
UGAACGCUGGCGGCGUGCCUAAUACAUGCAAGUCGAGCGAACAGAUGAGGAGCUUGCUCCUCUGACGUUAGCGGCGGACGGGUGAGUAACACGUGGAUAACCUACCUAUAAGACUGGGAUAACUUCGGGAAACCGGAGCUAAUACCGGAUAAUAUAUUGAACCGCAUGGUUCAAUAGUGAAAGACGGUUUUGUUGUCACUUAUAGAUGGAUCCGCGCCGCAUUAGCUAGUUGGUAAGGUAACGGCUUACCAAGGCGACGAUUCGUAGCCGACCUGAGAGGGUGAUCAGCCACACUGGAACUGAGACACGGUCCAGACUCCUACGAGAGGCAGCAGUAGGGAAUCUUGCGCAAUGGGCGAAAGCCUGACGGAGCAACGCCGCGUGAGUGAUGAAGGUCUUCGGAUCGUAAAACUCUGUUAUUAGGGAAGAACAAAUGUGUAAGUAACUAUGCACGUCUUGACGGUACCUAAUCAGAAAGCCACGGCUAACUACGUG